UAAGGAAUAUUGGUCAAUGGACGCAAGUCUGAACCAGCCAUGCCGCGUGAAGGAUGAAGGUCCUCUGGAUUGUAAACUUCUUUUAUCUGGGACGAAAACGGGAUUUUUAUCUCAAUUGACGGUACCAGAGGAAUAAGCACCGGCUAACUCCGUGCCAGCAGCCGCGGUAAUACGGAGGGUGCGAGCGUUAUCCGGAUUUACUGGGUUUAAAGGUGCGUAGGCGGGCAUGUAAGUCAGUGGUGAAAUACCGGAGCUUAACUUCGGAACUGCCAUUGAUACUAUAUGUCUUGAAUAUUGUGGAGGUAAGCGGAAUAUGUCAUGUAGCGGUGAAAUGCAUAGAUAUGACAUAGAACACCGAUUGCGGAGGCAGCUUGCUACGCAAAUAUUGACGCUGAGGCACGAAAGCGUGGGAUCAAACA
rnacentral:rRNA from 1 species